CCUAUGGGUGGCAGCAGUGAGGAAUAUUGGUCAAUGGGCGGGAGCCUGAACCAGCCAAGUCGCGUGAGGGAAGACGGUCCUAUGGAUUGUAAACCUCUUUAGGCGGGGAGCAAUGCCGGGCACGCGUGCCCGGAGGGAGCGUACCCGCAGAAUCAGCAUCGGCGAACUCCGUGCCAGCAGCCGCGGUAAUACGGAGGAUGCGAGCGUUAUCCGGCGUUAUUGGGUUUAACGGGUGCGUAGGCGGAUUGUUAUGUCAGCGUGAAAAUGUCCGGGCUCAACCCGGGCCGGCCGUUGAAACUGGGGAUCUUGAGUGGGGGAGAAGUAUGCGGAAUGCGUGGUGUAGCGGUGAAAUGCAUAGAUAUCACGCAGAACUCCGGUUGCGAAGGCAGCAUACCGGCGCCCGACUGACGCUGAGGCACGAAAGCGUGGGGAUCGAACAGGAUUAGAUACCCGGGUAGUC
rnacentral:rRNA from 1 species